UGUGGAAGGCUUUUUUUUUCUUCAGAGGCAAUACGCAAAAGAGAUGACCUUCCAAGAGAGUAGCUCUCCUGCAGGCGAUAGAAGAUAUCAAAGCUAAAGUGGCUGAGGUGGAGCACUUUGACAGUGUGGUCAAGAAGCUGAACGCUGAGUCUCCAGGACACACAGAAAGAAAGAAUCAGAAGGCAAGAAAAGCCAUCAUAUUUAGACCUAAGAUCCAGCAGGUAAAACAGGAGCUGGGAGGAUGAGCAAGGGAGCGUUGCAGAGGGACGAGAGCAAGAAUUUGCCAGUCAGGAUGAAAAACUUCUAAUGGAAUCCAGCUUGAAAGCAAGUCAAGAGCAGCUAAGUGAGCAAAGAGCAGAAACCAUUUGCACAGACCAGUAGAAAAUCACAGACAGAGCUGAAGCCACUGAGAGAACGCAUUAUAGAUUCUCAUGAAGAAAGUAGUGAUUACAAUGCCCCAAGGAUAUUCGAAUAAGGACAUUUUUGAAGCUCUGAAUCACAGCCAACCAUAGGAUAUGGAAACGUGAGUUAUGAGGCUUCAAAAACUCACUACAAACCUGGAAGCAAAUGUGGUGAAUCUCAGCCAGAAAAAGGACACUUGGAUGGCCUAUAUUCUUUCUCUGUGAUUCAGCUUGCAUUACAUUGUGAAAUGUAACCCAUGGUUAUUGCAUACUUCUGUGAACUUUUAACACUUCAAGUGGAUUAUAGUGUCUUAUUUUGAUUACAUUCAUAUUGUUCACUGUGAUAAAAUUAGGUUUUUAGUCAUUUUUUUUAAAAAAAUGUUUGGCUUAGAUCCACUGUAUUCAGGCAUGUACUAAGUGGAAAGAUUUAGACUGUAGGUCUUCAUAUUGUGCAUAUGUGGCACAUGUUAGCAAUUAAUCAAACUUUAGUCACCUCUAAUUAACAGCAAUACUGAGGCCAGAAUAUGGCAAAAACAGAUGACAAAAGAAUUGACUGUAAAGUAUACUGCAAGGGAAAAAAAUAUUCCAAGAACAUUGGAAUUCAGCUGUGUUUUUAAUCUUUUAAUAUUCUUCUAUUUAUGUGAAGAAAUUAGUGAGGUUCGUGUGUUUCAUAUGUUUGUAAAACUUCAAUUGCUGCCAUAAAUUUGCAAAAAUAAUAUGCCUAUAUUAAUGUAAUUAAUUAUACGAUGGACAACCUCAUCUUCAUACAUGUUGGUUUUAAUUAUGGGAAGUCAGACUUGGCCAAGGUGGUCCAUGCUCUGGAUACAUCUCACAUAGACUACUGUAAUGCACUCUGCAUAGGGCUGCCUCUGAAGACUGUUCGGGAGCUUCAAGUAGUGCAACAGGCAGCAGCCAGAUUGCUAACCGGAGUGGCAUAUAAGGGUACUUACAACUCCCCUGUUACAUCAGCUCCACUGGCUGCCAAUUUGCUUCUGAGCAGAAUUCAAAGUGCUGGCUUUAGCCUAUAAAUCCCUAAAUAGUUCCUGUCCAGCUUACUUGUCCAAACAUAUCUCCCUUUAUGAUCUGGUGCGAUUCUUAAGAUCUUCUGGGGAGGCCCUGCUCUUGAUCCCGCCCUCAUCACAGGUGUGGUUACAAGGACAAGAGACAGGGCCUUCUCAGUGGUAACCCCGUGGCUGUGGAACUCCCUCCCCAGUGACGUCAGAGCAGCCCCCUUGCACUUAAGCUUCAGGCAGAAUCUUAAGACCUGGAUAUUUAACCAAACCUUUGGGGAUUAAUAUGACUCCCAUAAUUAUGAUGGAAGAAUGGCAAAGCAAUUGGUUCAAUGUUUAAAAAACUCAGUUGGUGCUAGACUUUUGAUAUUUUUGAUAAGUUUUAAUUGAAAAACUAUUUAAUUGAUAAGUACAUUUUUAUAGUUUUAUAAUAUUGUGUUUUACUGAUAUUGUUAUUGUCUGAAUCUGGCAUUGAAUUAUUGCCAUUGUUUGUAAGCCUCCCUGAGUCCCCCUUUGGGGGUGAGAAGGGCAGAGUAUAAGUACACUAAAUAAAUAAAUAAAUAAAUAAAUAAAUAAAUAAUCAGGCUGUAGGACACUGCCCCAAAAAUAUUUGGUAGACUAUGUUACUCUAUGUCAGGGGUCCUCAAACUUUUUAAGCAGAGGGCUGGUUCAUGGUUCCUCAGGCUGUUGAAGGGUCUUGCCUAUAGUUUGAAAAAAAUGAAUCAAUUCCCAAGCACACUGCAUAGAUCUUAUUUGUAGUGAGGGGGGAAAUGAAAGAACAAUACAAUAUUUUAAAAGAAAAACAAUUUUAACGAACAUCAAUUUACUAGUAUUUCAAUGGGAAGUUUGAGCCUGCAUUUGGCUGAUGAGAUAGCCAAGUGAAUUAGGAUUUUUUUUUUGCUGUGUGCCUUCAAGUCAUUUCAGACUUAGGGUGAUCCUAAGUCUAAAGUUUAGGGCAGGUGAGGUAAAUGACUGCAUAGUCACAUCCAGCCCAUGGGCCUUAGUUUUAGUUUGGGGACCCCUACUCUAUGCAAAGAACGCAUAGAUUCCACUAUAUAUUUCAAAAUGCAGCAUUUCACCAUAUUUGUACUAAGAAGAGAAUGGUUGUUAGUGGGAUGUCUCUCUUCAUUUAUGUUGGUUUUAAUUAUUAGGGUAUGGAAUUAUCAGAUCAUACCAGACAAGAACAUAAACAGAGGCCAAUCUAGGGAGCAUUCAGUUUACAUAUUCUGUUUAGAAUUCAGCCUCUCUGAAGGUCCUAAAACAUGACAACAAUCACAGGCUUCUGCAUAUUCUCAGUGGCAUAGCAUGAUUACUGGGUAGCUGCCACCUGGACUGGUCCAGGAAGGGGUGGAAAGGGCAGUACAUUUUGGUGCUGAUCAAUUAUCCUUCCCAUUGAACAACAGUCAUGUAAAUCUUUUUAUGCCCUGCAAGGACGGCAUCCUUGAUGAGAAAAAUCAUAUUCACUGACAUAAACAGUAAAGGCUUGUUUUCUUGCAUUUUCUUCAUUUGUCUGAGUUUGGUUCCAUUGUCAAGAACACUUGUGAAAUAAUUUUUCAUGUUUUUGAAGUUUGUUCAGAUUUAACCAAUUUUGUUUUAUUAACAACUUUAAAGAUGGCUUUGUAAAUUUCCAUAACCAGCUGAGUAUUUUUCCGAAUACACAAAAUUCACACAACUGGGUUAUUUCAAAUCCAGUGAUCCAAUCUUUUGCAUUUGCAGUAAUGAUAUCUUUUGCCGUGAUUAUUCCUUAAGGAAUCUGGUGCUUGAAUUUGGUUUCUGUCAACUCUGUUAUCUUUACACAUGCUUUUUCAUUCAUGCUUACCAUUUUUUAUUCAAUUCUACUAAAGCCUAUGGAACUUACACUCUUCACUAUCACUUACUCUUACCCUUCUCUGGUGUCUUACAAAUACAGUGCAGCUCCCAUACCCAUGGGGCUAGUACAUGUGGUUACAUCUACCCAUAUCUGACAAUGUUUUAGGUCAUCCAGGGUGACUUUAUGGUAACUUCUGGAGGAAGUUUGCUAUUAUCCAUGGUUUCUAUAGUAAGCUGUAGAAAUGUGUCUCUCAUAGAUAUGCGGAUUAUACUGUGGCUUUGAGAUGUAGGUCCUAUUUCUGAAAACUCUUUCAUCAGUUUACUCCAUGAACCUCUUUUGAGUCAGUUAGCCUUUUCUGAAAUAGGGGAACCAUUCCAUCAGUGUAGUAGCAGCAUACUCUCUCCCCCAGAAUUUGGGAUUGCUCAAUGAAUCUGUAACAACAAAUUACAGAGAAACCCAUAUCAAAGAAGUAAGAUUGUCUCUUAGUGAUACACAA